rnacentral:rRNA from 1 species
UUAUUAUGAGAGUUUGAUCCUGGCUCAGGACGAACGCUGGCGGCGUGCCUAAUACAUGCAAGUCGAACGCUUCUUUCCUCCCGAGUGCUUGCACUCAAUUGGAAAGAGGAGUGGCGGACGGGUGAGUAACACGUGGGUAACCUACCCAUCAGAGGGGGAUAACACUUGGAAACAGGUGCUAAUACCGCAUAACAGUUUAUGC